rnacentral:tRNA from 1 species
CGGGUAGACUAGUCCCAGGAGAGUCACUCGAUUCCCCGUACGACCAGGGAAUACUCGAGAUUUUCGCAAGCUUUCGGUGGAGUCAAAAUUCCUCCAGGGGGUCGCAGGUUCAAAUCCUGUCGCCCCGACCA